AUGUCCUUAUUACUUGGUAGACCAUGGCAAUUUGAUAAAAAUUCUGUACACCAUGGUAGAAACAAUCAGUAUACUCUUGUUCAUAACGAUAAAAAUAUUACUUUGCUUCCUAUGACUCCUGAUUCCAUUUUGAAAGAUGAUAUUAAUAGAGCUAAUAAAGCAAAACGGGAGACAAAUAAGAGUGAAAAUCAGAUUGUGGCAAAAGAAUUUGAGCACCAAAUGAAGCCUAAUAAUAAACCAUCUACUAUUGUUUCUGCAAUUAAAUUGAAAAGUGCAUGUUUACUUGCCACCAAAUCUGAUAUUGAUGAGCUAGAUUUUAGCAAAUCUAUUUGCUAUGCUUUUGUGUGCAAAGAGGCAUUAUUUUCAUUCGAGGACGUGCCUUCCUCUUUGCCCCCUGCUGUCACUAACAUUUUGCAGGAGUUCACUGACGUUUUUCCACAAGACGUGCCACCGGGAUUACCACCUAUUCGAGGGAUUGAGCAUCAAAUUGACUUAAUUCCCGGUGCUUCGCUACCCAACCGUGCACCAUACCGUACCAAUCCAGAGGAGACGAAGGAGAUUAUGCGUCAAGUACAAGAACUGCUCGACAAAGGUUAUAUACGCGAAUCCCUUAGUCCUUGUGCUGUUCCUAUCAUUUUAGUGCCGAAAAAGGAUGGUACGUCGCGUAUGUGCGUUGAUUGUAGAGGCAUUAAUAAUAUUACUAUUCGUUAUCGUCAUCCUAUUCCUAGGCUAGAUGAUAUGCUUGAUGAAUUGAGUGGCUCUACAAUAUUCUCCAAAGUUGAUUUGCAUAGUGGAUACCAUCAAAUUCGUAUGAAAUUGGGUGAUGAAUGGAAAACAGCAUUUAAAACUAAGUUUGGAUUAUAUAAGUGGUUAGUCAUGCCUUUUGGGUUAACUAAUGCACCUAGUACUUUCAUGAGGUUAAUGAACGAAGUUUUACGUGCUUUCAUUGGACGAUUUGUGGUAGUUUACUUUGAUGACAUAUUGAUUUAUAGCAAAUCUUUGGAGGAACAUUUGGAACAUUUACGUGCUGUUUUUAUUGCUCUACGUGAUGCACGUUUGUUUGGAAACCUUGGAAAGUGCACCUUUUGCACCGACCGAGUAUCUUUUCUUGGCUAUGUUGUUACUCCACAGGGAAUUGAAGUUGAUAAAGCCAAGAUUGAAGCUAUUGAGAGUUGGCCGCAGCCCAAAACGGUCACUCAAGUGAGGAGUUUCCUUGGCCUCGCUGGUUUCUAUAGGCGUUUUGUGAGAGGUUUCAGCACCAUUGCUACACCUCUCAACGAGCUUACAAAGAAGGAUGUGCCUUUUGUUUGGGGUACCGCACAGGAAGAAGCCUUCACGGUAUUGAAAGAUAAGUUGACACAUGCUCCUUUACUCCAACUUCCUAAUUUCAAUAAGACUUUUGAGCUUGAAUGUGAUGCUAGUGGAAUUGGAUUAGGAGGUGUGUUAUUACAAGAUGGAAAACUUGUUGCAUACUUUUCUGAAAAAUUGAGUGAGUCUAGUCUGAACUAUUCUACUUAUGAUAAAGAAUUAUAUGCUCUUGUUCGGAUCUUAGAAACAUGGCAAUAUUAUUUAUGGCCCAAGGAAUUUGUUAUACAUUCUGAACAUGAAUCUUUGAAACACAUUAAAAGUCAAGCAAAACUGAACUGUAGACAUGCUAAAUGGGUUGAAUUCAUUGAGACUUUCCCUUAUGUCAUUAAACACAAGAAGGGUAAAGAAAAUGUUAUUGCUGAUGCUUUGUCUCGUCGUUAUACUAUGCUUUACAACUUGAGUUUAAAAUAUUUGGUUUGGAGACCAUCAAAGAUCAAUAUGUUCAUGAUGCUGAACUUAAAGAUGUAUUGCAGAAUUGUAAGGAAGGGAGAACUUGGAACAAGUUCGUUCUUAACAAUGGAUUUGUGUUUCGUGCUAACAAGCUAUGCAUUCCAGCUAGCUCCGUUCGUCUUUUGUUGUUGCAGGAGGCGCAUGGAGGAGGAUUAA
rnacentral:rRNA from 1 species